rnacentral:rRNA from 1 species
GAUGAUGUAUAUGGGGUGACACCUGCCCAGUGCUGGAAGGUUAAAGAAGGGUGUUAUAGCAAUCAAAGCUCCCGACUGAAGCCCCAGUGAACGGCGGCCGUAACUAUAACGGUCCUAAGGUAUCGAAAUUCCUUGUCGGGUAAAUUCCGUCCAGCUUGAAUGGUAUAUCCAUCUCUUAACUGUCUCGGCUAUAGACUCGGUGAAAUCCAGGUUCGGGCGAAGACGCCGGAUACCCGCAUCGAAACGAAAAGACCCCGUGGAGCUUUACUGAAACUUCAUAUUGGGGUGAGUUUCGACUUGUGUAGGAUAGGUGGGAGACUUUGAAGCAACUUCGCUAGGAGUUGUGGAGUCACCAGUGGAAUACCACCUUCGUUUAAAUUCUUCUCUAACCAGUUGCUGU